UACAGAGGGGGGCAAGCGUUUGUUCGGAAUUACUGGGCGUAAAGGGCGCGUAGGCGCCUGCUAAGUCGAACGUGAAAUCCCCGAGCUCAACUCGGGAACUGCGUCCGAUACUGGCAGGCUUGAAUCCGGGAGAGGGAUGCGGAAUUCCAGGUGUAGCGGUGAAAUGCGUAGAUAUCGGGGAAGAACACCUAUGGCGAAGGCAGCUCUCUGGGACGGUACUGACGCUGAGACGCGAAAGCGUGGGGAGCGAACAGG
rnacentral:rRNA from 1 species